AACGCUAGCUACAGGCUUAACACAUGCAAGUCGAGGGGCAGCAUAGAAGUAGCAAUACUUUGGUGGCGACCGGCGCACGGGUGAGUAACGCGUAUGCAACCUACCUAUCAGAGGGGAAUAACCCGGCGAAAGUCGGACUAAUACCGCAUAAAACAGGGGCACCGCAUGGUGAUAUUUGUUAAGGAAAUUCGCUGAUAGAUGGGCAUGCGUUCCAUUAGGUAGUUGGUGAGGUAACGGCUCACCAAGCCGACGAUGGAUAGGGGAACUGAGAGGUUGGUCCCCCACACUGGUACUGAGACACGGACCAGACUCCUACGGGAGGCAGCAGUGAGGAAUAUUGGUCAAUGGGCGGGAGCCUGAACCAGCCAAGUAGCGUGCAGGAUGACGGCCCUAUGGGUUGUAAACUGCUUUUAUGCGGGGAUAAAGUGGGGGAUGCAUCCCUUUUUGCAGGUACCGCAUGAAUAAGGACCGGCUAAUUCCGUGCCAGCAGCCGCGGUAAUACGGAAGGUCCGGGCGUUAUCCGGAUUUAUUGGGUUUAAAGGGAGCGUAGGCCGUCGUUUAAGCGUGUUGUGAAAUGCCGCGGCUCAACCGUGGCACUGCAGCGCGAACUGGAUGACUUGAGUUCGCGGGAGGUAGGCGGAAUUCGUGGUGUAGCGGUGAAAUGCUUAGAUAUCACGAAGAACUCCGAUUG
rnacentral:rRNA from 1 species